CGGAGGUGCAAGCGUUAUCCGGAUUCACUGGGUUUAAAGGGUGCGUAGGAGGGCAGGUAAGUCAGUGGUGAAAUCUCCAAGCUUAACUUGGAAACUGCCGUUGAUACUAUCUGUCUUGAAUAUUGUGGAGGUGAGCGGAAUAUGUCAUGUAGCGGUGAAAUGCUUAGAUAUGACAUAGAACACCAAUUGCGAAGGCAGCUCACUACACAAUCAUUGACUCUGAGGCACGAAAGCGUGGGGAUCAAACAGGAUUAGAUACCCUGGUAGUCCACGCCCUAAACUAUGGAUACUCGACAUACGCGAUAUACAGUGUGUGUCUGAGCGAAAGCAUUAAGUAUCCCACCUGGGAAGUACGACCGCAAGGUUG
rnacentral:rRNA from 1 species